rnacentral:rRNA from 1 species
GAACGAGGUAGCAAUACCUAGUGACAGACGGGUGAGUAACACGUGGUCAACCUUCCGUAUCGUGGGGGAUAACUAGCCGAAAGGUUAGCUAAUACCGCAUACGAUCUUCGAGCGGCAUCGCACGAAGAUGAAAGGAGCAAUCCGCGCAACGACGGGACCGCGUCCCAUUAGCUUGAUGGUGGGGUAAUGGCCUACCAUGGCAACGAUGGGUAGCUGGUUUGAGAGAGCGACCAGCCACACUGGGACUGAGAAACGGCCCAGACUCCUACGGGAGGCAGCAGUGAGGGAUUUUCCGCAAUGGGCGAAAGCCUGACGGAGCGACGCCGCGUGUGGGAAGAAGGCCUUCGGGUCGUAAACCACUGUCGAAGGGGAAGAUAAUGACGGUACCCUUGGAGGAAGCCCCGGCUAACUACGUGCCAGCAGCCGCGGUAAU